CAGUAGCCACGGGAAUACAGAGGGUGCAAGCGUUAAUCGGAAUUACUGGGCGUAAAGCGCGCGUAGGUGGUUUGUUAAGUUGGAUGUGAAAUCCCCGGGCUCAACCUGGGAACUGCAUCCAAAACUGGCAGGCUAGAGUAGGGCAGAGGGUGGUGGAAUUUCCUGUGUAGCGGUGAAAUGCGUAGAUAUAGGAAGGAACACCAGUGGCGAAGGCGACCACCUGGGCUCAUACUGACACUGAGGUGCGAAAGCGUGGGGAGCAAACAGGAUUAGAUACCCGCGUAGUCCCUGUCUCUUAUAC
rnacentral:rRNA from 1 species